UGGGGAAUAUUGCACAAUGGGCGAAAGCCUGAUGCAGCAACGCCGCGUGAGUGAUGAAGGUCUUCGGAUUGUAAAGCUCUGUCUUUUGGGACGAUAAUGACGGUACCAAAGGAGGAAGCCACGGCUAACUACGUGCCAGCAGCCGCGGUAAUACGUAGGUGGCGAGCGUUGUCCGGAUUUACUGGGCGUAAAGGGUGCGUAGGCGGAUGUUUAAGUGAGAUGUGAAAUACCCGGGCUUAACUUGGGUGCUGCAUUUCAAACUGGAUAUCUAGAGUGCAGGAGAGGAGAAUGGAAUUCCUAGUGUAGCGGUGAAAUGCGUAGAGAUUAGGAAGAACACCAGUGGCGAAGGCGAUUCUCUGGACUGUAACUGACGCUGAGGCACGAAAGCGUGGGUAGCAAACAGGAUUAGAUACCCUGGUAGUCCACGCCGUAAAACGAUGAGUACUAGGUGUAGGAGGUAUCGACCCCUUCUGUGCCGCAGUAAACACAUUAAAGUACUCCGCCUGGGAAGUACNAUCGCAAGAUUA
rnacentral:rRNA from 1 species